GAUGAACGCUGGCGGCGUGCCUAAUACAUGCAAGUCGAGCGAACAGACGAGGAGCUUGCUCCUCUGACGUUAGCGGCGGACGGGUGAGUAACACGUGGAUAACCUACCUAUAAGACUGGGAUAACUUCGGGAAACCGGAGCUAAUACCGGAUAAUAUAUUGAACCGCAUGGUUCAAUAGUUAAAGACGGUUUUGCUUUCACUUAUAGAUUGAUCCGCGCCGCAUUAGCUAGUUGGUAAGGUAACGGCUUACCAAGGCAACGAUGCGUAGCCGACCUGAGAGGGUGAUCGGACACACUGGAACUGAGACACGGUCCAGACUCCUACGGGAGGCAGCAGUAGGGAAUCUUCCGCAAUGGGCGAAAGCCUGACGGAGCAACGCCGCGUGAGUGAUGAAGGUCUGCGGAUCGUAAAACUCUGUUAUUAGGGAAGAACAAAUGUGUAAGUAACUAUGCACGUCUUGACGGUACCUAAUCAGAAAGCCACGGCUAACUACGUG
rnacentral:rRNA from 1 species